GAUGAACGCUGGCGGCGUGCCUAAUACAUGCAAGUCGAGCGAACGGACGAGAAGCUUGCUUCUCUGAUGUUAGCGGCGGACGGGUGAGUAACAAGUGGAUAACCUACCUAUAAGACUGGGAUAACUUCGGGAAACCGGAGCUAAUACCGGAUGAUAUUUUGAACCGCAUGGUUCAAAAGUGAAAGACGGUCUUGCUGUCACUUAUAGAUGGAUCCGCGCUGCAUUAGCUAGUUGGUAAGGUAACGGCUUACCAAGGCAACGAUGCAUAGCCGACCUGAGAGGGUGAUCGGCCACACUGGAACUGAGACACGGUCCAGACUCCUACGGGAGGCAGCAGUAGGGAAUCUUCCGCAAUGGGCGAAAGCCUGACGGAGCAACGCCGCGUGAGUGAUGAAGGUCUUCGGAUCGUAAAACUCUGUUAUUAGGGAAGAACAUAUGUGUAAGUAACUGUGCACAUCUUGACGGUACCUAAUCAGAAAGCCACGGCUAACUACGUG
rnacentral:rRNA from 1 species